GGGGCCUUAGCUCAGUUGGUAGAGCGCGUCGUUCGCAAUGACGAGGUCAGGGGUUCGACUCCCCUAGGCUCCACCA
rnacentral:tRNA from 1 species